ACUGCUCAGUAACACGUGGAUAAUCUGCCCUCAGGUGAGGAAUAAUCCCGGGAAACUGGGGCUAAUGCCUCAUAGGAGACGGGUGCUGGAAUGCUCUGUCUCCGAAAGGUCCGCCGCCUGAGGAUGAGUCUGCGUCCGAUUAGGUUGUUGUUGGGGUAACGGCCCAACAAGCCUUUGAUCGGUACGGGUUGUGGGAGCAAGAGCCCGGAGAUGGAUUCUGAGACAUGAAUCCAGGCCCUACGGGGCGCAGCAGGCGCGAAAACUUUACAAUGCGAGCAAUCGUGAUAAGGAAACCCUGAGUGCCUGUCAAUGCAGGCUGUUCUGGUGUCUAACACACACCAGGAGAAAGGGCGGGGCAAGACCGGUGCCAGCCGCCGCGGUAAUACCGGCUGCUCGAGUGAUAGCCACUUUUACUGGGCUUAAAGCGUUCGUAGCUUGGUCGUUAAGUCUCUGGGGAAAUCUUUUGGCUCAACCAAAAGGCGUCUCAGGGAAACUGACGAUCUUGGAACCGGGAGAGGUAAGACGUACUUCGGGGGUAGGAGUGAAAUCUUGUAAUCCCCGAGGGACGACCGAUGGCGAAGGCAUCUUACCAGAACGGCUUCGACAGUGAGGGACGAAAGCUGGGGGAGCAAACCGGAUUAGAUACCCGGGUAGUCCCAGCCGUAAACGAUGUGCGUUAGGUGUGUCAGUGACCACGAGUCGCUGAGGUGCCGAAGGGAAACCGUGAAACGCACCGCCUGGGAAGUACGGUCGCAAGGCUGAAACUUAAAGGAAUUGGCGGGGGAGCAC
rnacentral:rRNA from 1 species